UAGAUCUCUGUGGGGUAUGUGUAUCACAACGUCAAGGGCGGGAGGCGAAUGGCCACACCUCCAUGACUCUGGAGAAGGAGAAAUCUCCUCCAAAAAUCCAUACAAAAUAAGGGUGAAGUCAAACUGACCCUGUAAAAUUAAAAACAGAACAAAAACCCACAGGUGAGUUCGGCCGGGAGGGAACGAGUGUGGAGGUGGGACGUGCGCCUGCGGCUCCACGCACGCGUGUGCGAGGUGCAAGCGUGUCGAUGCACAUGCAGAGUCCGUGUAGAGUGUGCACGUGCCCGGGGGCCGUGUGUGUGUGUGUGGGUACAUACGCACAUGUCUACAGGCAUGCCAGCAAUGGGGGAUGCACGUGUGCUGCAGGAAUCAAACCGGGACGCACUGUGCUGCUGCCAGAGCUCAUGGCCAUCGGCAACGAAGCACGUUGGGUUCAGUUGCCCAUGGCCAUCAGUAACAAAACACGUUGGGUUCAGUUGCCCAUGGCCAUUGGUAACAAAACAUGUUGGGUUCAGUUGCCCAUGGCCAUCGGUAACAAAGCAUGUUGGGUUUGGCAGCCCAUGGCCAUCAGUAACAAAACACGUUGGGUUCAGUUUCCCAUGGCCAUCGGUAACAAAGCACGUUGGCUUGGGCUGCCCAUGGCCAUUGGUAACAAAGCAUAUUGGGUUCAGUUGCCCAUGGCCAUCAGCCACAAAGCACACUGCCUUUGGCUGCCCAUGGCCAUUGGUAACAAAGCACGUUGGGUUCAGUUUCCCAUGGCCAUCAGUAACAAAGCACAUUGGCUUGGGCUGCCCAUGGCCAUUAGUAACAAAGCACGUUGGGUUCAGUUUCCCAUGGCCAUCGGAAACAAAGCACAUUGGGUUCAGUUGCCCAUGGCCAUCGGUAACAAAGCACGUUGGCUUUGGCUGCCCAUGGCCAUCGGUAACAAAGCACGUUGGGUUCAGUUUCCCAUGGCCAUCAGCCACAUAGCACAUUGGCUUUGGCUGCCCAUGGCCAUCGGUAACAAAGCAUAUUGGAUUCAGUUGCCCAUGGCCAUCAGCCACAAAGCAUAUUGGGUUCAGUUGCCCAUGGCCAUCAGCCACAAAGCACACUGCCUUUGGUUGCCCAUGGCCAUCAGUCACAAAGCGCGUUGGGUUUUGGUUCCUUUUCUCCUAACGUCAGAGUUACAGAGGAGGGGUAAUGAAGAAUGAGGAUCGAUGGAUUUUGUUUGGACAAAGGAAAAAAUACCAACAACUGUUUUUUUUUUUUUUUCUUAAAAAUUCCCUUCAAAGCCAGAAAAAAAGAAAGGAAAAAAAAAAAAAAAAGGAAAAAAAACCAACCCAAAAGUGUCUCCCUUUGUACAGAAGUAACCCAAUGUCGAGAAGCCAUGAGCAUCACAGUGAGGGCAGCGGGCGCCGCGCGCUCGGCCUCCUCCUGAAUGGCUUGUCAAAGCGAAGCUCUCACUGGGUCCGGGAUGCUCGGGGUGGAGAUGCCAAUGCCAUCAGAGUCGAUCUAAAGUCAGAAAAGAGCUAUCUACACAUGGGAAAAAAAAUCCUCUUUGCUUCAGCUGAGAAAAAAAACAAACAUAAAGGUUAAGUAGCAGCAGCUGCGUGAGCUGGAACGGUGCGUUCUGUCGGGGUGGGACCAGAAAUGAUCGUGGGAUGCGACCGCUGUUGGGGCCGAUCCACACUCACUGCUCCUGGGGGGCUGUGCGGGGCCGUCUCCAAAGCCCUGAGCCCAUGCUCAUGGAGCUCCGUGUGCAUCCGGCCGUGGGCACUCAGAUGGGGGGGGGAGGGCAUGGAAGGGGUGGGCACUGAGACGGGGGGGAUGGGGCAUGGAGGGGUGGGCACUGAGAUGGGGGGAUGUGGACAUGGAAGGGAUGGGCAUUGAGAUGGGGGGAUGGGGCAUGGAGGGGUGGGCACUGAGGUGGGGGGUGAGGGCAUGGAAGGGAUGGGCACUGAGAUGGGGGGAUGGGGCAUGGAGGGGUGGGCACUGAGGUGGGGGGGUGAGGGCAUGGAAGGGAUGGGCAUUGAGAUGGGAGGAUGAGGGCAUGGAGGGGUGGGCACUGAGAUGGGAGGAUGGGGCAUGGAGGGGUGGGCACUGAGAUGGGGGGACGUGGGCAUGGAAGGGAUGAGUGUUGGGGGGGGUGAGGGCACGGAAGGGAUGGGCACUGAGAUGGGAGGAUGGGG
ensembl:lncRNA